UAGGUGGAAGUCAGGUAUAUGAUCAGCAUUAAAAAAAAAUGUUUGAGUCAGACAGUUUCUUAGACUAGUUGAACCUUCAUCUUGUCCUAAUUACAAAAUACUGGAAUGAGCAAACAUGGAACUUAAUAGGACACACUAAUGUAAGCACCAUCUUCAGUGCCCGGUCAGCUUCUGAGUCCAACAAGAUCUGAAUAGUCUGGUCUAAAUGGAGUUUGUGCAUGGCUAGCACCUUGUGGUCCCCUCUGCUUGUUUUAUGUCUCUCUACCCUAGGCUUUUAUUAUGAAAGUAACUAACUCCAUCCAUAGCAUCUCUUUAUUUACCAUCAGAAGAGUUUUAGCUCAGACACUCACAGUGGGGAAGCUGGGUAUGAGAGUGUUAGGCUGCCAUCAUAGCAUGGAGCAGGGUUAGGCAUGGUUGGAGGAUCAUGAAUUUUGUGAGGUUCAGGGCAACUGGAGCUGUACAGUGACUCCCUGUCUCAAACCCAAACAAAACCAGUAAUAAAAGAUGGGAACAACAGGUCGGCAGAAUGACCGUUUCCACUCUAGUUCGUUUCUUGCCUAGUUUUCUGAGCUCUGUUCCAAUUUCAGCCACUAUGCCUCUAAAGAAAAGUAAGUGCUUGGAAAGACUGGUAUAUUUGUUAGUGUCUUUCACCAGCAUUUAAAAACUGCGGGUAAGCAUAAGUAAUUUUACUGCACUUUCAGAAGUGUCGUCUCAAGUUCAUAUGUAUACAUGUCAAAAAAAAAAAAAAAGAUUGUGAAUUAAGCUGCAGAGUUUCUAACACAAAUGUGAUUGUUUUUUAAAGAUGUGCAUUCCUUGAGUUUAUUUAUGUAUGGCUCUCUUUUCAUCUGCAGGCACCUUAUUAGACAGUCCUACUGUUUCUGCUGCAUAAUCUUUCCAAAUAGCUAACGUGAGAAGCAUUGUCCCUGCUCGGGUGAGUUUUACCCACAAAGCAUUUCAGAGUUUCAAGGCUGGGCUAAUGUCAUCACUCGAGAGGCAGAGUGAUGUGAAUCUCUGUAUUCAAGGCCAGCCUGGUCUACAGAGUGAAUUCCAGGACAGCCAGGACUACACAGAGAAACCCUGUC
rnacentral:lncRNA from 1 species